rnacentral:tRNA from 1 species
GGGCCCUUAGCUCAGUUGGUUAGAGCAACUGACUCAUAAUCAGUGGGUCGGGGGUUCGAGUCCCUCAGGGCCCA